rnacentral:rRNA from 1 species
GAUGAACGCUGGCGGCGUGCGUAAUACAUGCAAGUCGAGCGAACAGUGGAGGAGCUUGUUCCUCGGACGUUAGCGGCGUAUGGGUGAGUAACACGUGGAUAACUUACCUAUAAGACUGGGAUAACUUCGGGAAACCGAAGCGAAUACCGGAUAAUAUAUUGAACCGCAUGGUUCAAUUGUCACAGACUGUUUUGCUGUCACCUCUAGAUGGAUCCGAGCCGCAUUAGCUAGUUGGUAAGGUAACGGCUUACCAAGCCAACGAUGCGUAGCCGACCUGAGAGGGUCAUCAGCGACGCUGGAUCUGGAGCGCGAUCCAGACUCCUACGAGAGGCACAAGUAAGAGAUUUGCCGCAACGGGCGAACGCCUGACGGGGCAACGCCGCGUGAAUGAUGAAGGCCGUCACAACGUGCACCUCUAUUAUUAGGGAGGGACGAAAAUGUAAGUAAGUACGGACGUCAUAGCGGUUCCUAACCAGAGAGCCACGGGUAACCAAGUA